CCUCCAGAACUUCUCCAGAACAUCCCAAACUCCUCCAGAACCUCUUCAGGGACACUUCUGUCUCCCCCCCCAGGCCUCCAGAACCAUCCAGAACCUCUGGAACUCCUCCAGAACUUCUCCAGAACAUCCCGAAUUCCUCCAGAACCUCCGGCAGUGCUCCCAGGCCCCUCUGGCUCCCCCGGGGUUCCGGAAGGUUCUGGAAGGUUCCAGGAGCUCCCCAGGGAAUCUGCAGAUCUCCGGGGUUCCAGAAAACUCCAGAAGGUUUCUGUGGUGCCCCAGGGAUUCUGUGGAGGUUCCAGAAGGUUCCAAGAGCUCCCCGGGGCCUCAGCGCGGCUCUGGGGCCAUUCCAGAAGGUUCCAGGAGCUCCCAAGGACUCUGCGGCGCUCCAGGGCCGUUCCAGAAGGUUCCAGAAGGUUCCAGUGGCUCUCAAGGACUCUUCACCGCUCCGGGGCUGUUCCAGAAGAUUCCAGAAGGUUCCAGAAGGUUCCAGUGGCUUUCAAGGACUCUUUGCCGCUCUGGGGCCAUUCUGGAAGGUUCUGGAAGGUUCCGGUGUCUCCAGGAGCUUCCAGAAGGUUCUGGUGGCUCUCAAGGACUCUUUGUUGCUCCGGGGCCGUUCUGGAAGGUUCCGGAAGCUUCCGGGAGCUUCCAGAAGGUUCCGGUGGCUCUCAAGGACUCUUCGUCGCUCUGGGGGCCGUUCCAGAAGAUUCCAGAAGCUUCCGGGAGCUUCCAGAAGGUUCCGGUGGCUCUCAAGGACUCUUCGUCGCUCCGGGGGCCAUUCCAGAAGAUUCCAGAAGCUUCCGGGAGCUUCCAGAAGGUUCCGGUGGCUCUCAAGGACUCUUCGCUGCUCCGGGGCCGUUCCAGAAGGUUCCGGAAGGUUCUGGAAGGUUCUGGUGGCUCCCAAGGACUCUUCACCACUCCGGGGCCGUUCAGAAGGUUCCGGAAGGUUCCAGAAGGUUCUGGAAGGUUCUGGUGGCUCCCAAGGACUCUUCACCGCUCCAGGGCGGUUCCAGAAGGUUCCGGAAGGUUCUGGAAGGUUCCGGUGGCUCCCAAGGACUCUUCGCUGCUCCGGGGCGGUUCUGGAAGGUUCCAGGAGCUUCCGGUGGCUCUCAAGGACUCUUCGUCGCUCCGGGGCCGUUCCAGAAGGUUCCAGAAGGUUCCGGUGGCUCCCAAGGACUCUUCACCGCUCCGGGGCCAUUCCGGAAGGUUCCAGAAGGUUCUGGUGGCUCUCAAG
rnacentral:lncRNA from 1 species